GAUGAACGCUGACAGAAUGCUUAACACAUGCAAGUCUUUGGCGAAGCUGUGCUUGCACAGCCUAGCCAAGGCGGACGGGUGAGUAACGCGUCAGGAACUUGCCCUGCAGUCAGGGAUAACAGACGGAAACGACUGAUAAGACCUGGUAAAGUCAGGCGGACUCAUGUCCAGCCUGAUGAAAAGAGAUGCUGCAGGGGAGCCUUGCGUCCUAUUAGCUUGUUGUUGGGGUAACGGCCCAACAAGGCGAUGAUAGGUAGCCGGCCUGAGAGGGUGGACGGCCACAAGGGGACUGAGAUACGCCCCUUACUCCCGGGGGGGGCAGCAGUGGGGAAUAUUGGACAAUGGGGGCAACUCUGAUCGAGCAAUUCUGUGUGCAAGAUGAAGGUUUGCGGAUUGUAAAGUGCUUUCAGCAGGGAAGAAAAAAAUGACGGUACCUGCAGAAGAAGCGACGGCUAAAUACGUG
rnacentral:rRNA from 1 species